CGGCCGCGUCGACCGAACGCUGGCGGCAUGGCCUAAUACAUGCAAGUCGAGCGGAUUUGACGAGAAGCUUGCUUCUCGGAGAGUUAGCGGCGGACGGGUGAGUAACACGUAGGCAACCUGCCUUAUAGCCUGGGAUAACUUCCGGAAACGGAUGCUAAUACCGGAUACAUCAUUUUCCGGCAUCGGAGAAUGAGGAAAGACGGCGCAAGCUGUCACUACAAGAUGGGCCUGCGGCGCAUUAGCUAGUUGGUGGGGUAACGGCGUCACCAAGGCGACGAUGCGUAGCCGACCUGAGAGGGUGAACGGCCACACUGGGACUGAGACACGGCCCAGACUCCUACGGGAGGCAGCAGUAGGGAAUCUUCACAAUGGGCGAAAGCCUGAUGGAGCAAUGCCGCGUGAGUGAUGAAGGUUUUCGGAUCGUAAAGCUCUGUUGCCAGGGAGAACGUCCGGGUGAGUACUGCACCGGAGUGACGGUACCUGAGAAGAAACGCCCCGGNUAACGUACGUGCCAGCGAGCCGGCGUUAAACGG
rnacentral:rRNA from 1 species